CGCACCGCUCGCUAUCCCGCUGUUUCCAACCGGCCCAGUAAUUCCCCAGGCGUCGGUUAACAAGUACACAUAUCUGCGCCGUACUCGCAAGUUCCAACGCGCAACACUCGCAUUUACCUUGAUCCAAUUAAUACCGAUUAACCGAUCAUCAUCGAUCCGCACCGGGAGCCACCGUCUGUUUGAUAUACACACGCUCGAUCUUGGAUCAAUCUCCGGAGGAGAUCACCGAGCCGAUCCCCAACCCCUUCGUUUGGCAACGACUUUCGGCCAGAGUAGAGCGUCCUGAUCGUUCGCCGAUGGAUCUGCACGGCCCCGCGUUGCUCGGCUCUUGUGUACCCGCUCCGUUGCUUGUGUACCAACCAUUUGCUACCUAGAAACUACACUGUUUGCUUCGCUAAUUAGACACGUAGUACGUACGCAUUCUCCAUGCUCACGAGACCACACGGGAAGGAGAAGGAUGCACGGAAGAGAAAGAGAGAGAGAGGAAGAGAGGGAGAGAGAAAGGGUUUCGUUUUCGCACCAGAACGUAAACAUGGCGAGAAGCGUCGACCGUUGCGAAUAUAAAACAACACGUCAACACGAUGGUCCAGAUUUACAACUGUGUGCCCAACGCCAGUUCGCCAGGCUACCGAAUUUACCGAAUUGCUUUUUGCUUGCGGUCUCGCGGGCGAGAAUAGGCGUUGAGAAGGGAGAAGAAGAAACGAUCGUGAUGGAAUAUUGCCUGGCGAGACUCUUGUCGUUGCAUCUUGCAGGUGAGACUUACGGAGAGAUGUUCUGACGAUGUUUGUUGGACAAUGAAUAAAAAUUGAUAUAAAUAAUAUUAGUCCACCUAAUUUAUUAGGAAUUGAUCGUAAGAUAGAAUAAGCAAAUAAAAAGUAUCAUUCUGGUUUAAUGUGAGAAGGAGUAAUUAUUGGAUUUGCUAUUUUAAAAUUAUCUGGAUCUCUUAAUAUAUAAGGAUUUUGUAAAUUAAUAUAUAUAUAUAAAAAUUAAUAAAAUAAAAAUAAUUGUAAUUAUAUCUUUAAUUAUAAAAUAUGGAUAGAAAAUAAUUUUAUAAAUAUCAUUUUUUGAAUGAUUAGGAUUUGUUAAGCCAGAAAUAUGUAAAAUUAUUAAAUGUAAAAAUACUAUUA